GCUGCUGAGGAGAGCUGCAUGUAAGCCGGCGGCAUUCAGAUCAAAUGAGGCAUUCCAUAAAUGGUGUGAUGAUGUUGGCUAGUCACCACCAAGCUAAACACUACUUAAUGUUUACCAAAGAUUGCCAUAGAUUCAGAAGGCUGGGGAAUACCUCUUGGAAUGAUCAGUCUGACCUCUGCAUUUUGCAGGCAAGGCACGUCGAGCACCCGGACUCCGCGGCUAGAGAACUCCUGGUAAACCACCUUCACAAGAAGCAUACAGCUUGCUGCGACCUGUCUGGAGCACCACGGUGACAAAGUGGACACCCUGGUCUAUUAAUGCACUCUGAUCGGCCUGAAGGAAGUGUCCCACACUGCCCGUUCUAGCCACUCUGGUCAUCAUCUUGAAGUCUUCUGCCCUGCCCACAGAUGCAAUGUUGAGAUCCAAGUCAUCCUUGUUAUCAACGGCCGAAAGGCUGCAAAGACUCAGGAAGCGGCUGCAAAGAAGCAAGGAGGAGCUCCUGCAUGAAGUCAUGCAGCAGUCCCUUACUGAAAAUAAAAAAGUACAGGAGUGGCAGGAGAUCGAAAGGAGGGUCCCCCAGGAGAAUGUGGAUCACCAGCAACAAACCAUGGAACAGCUUCUGAGCAUUAUGGAGCACCAAGUGGACUCGAUGUAGGCACUCAUAGCACUGCAUAUGGAGCAGACCUGCGCCCGCCCCACCCCUGCAGCCCCAAACUCUUUCCCUUGUGUCCCCAUGUCACUGCCAACCCACUUACCUCAACUUCCGGUUUCUUAUUGCCACCAGCUGCCUCCAACACCUUUAGCUUUACUGCCCAGCCCUGCAAACUACAAUCCUUACCCACUGCACUCAACCCCCAUCACCAUGCACUUUAGCCAGCCUGCAGUGCAGCACUCAUUGCACGGCACUCCAGACAGGAUGGCUGAGUAUGAUAACAGGACAUACAUAAAUCUGUGAUUUUUCUGUUCCCCACCCUGCCCCCUUCUCUCCACCCACACACCACAGAUGUGGUGU